GCCGUUUUCUCUGACAUUUCCUCAGGUGUUAAUGUGCGUGAUUGAAUAAAAACCACAUUCAAUACCUUGUACAUAUAAUCGAAACUCAGUACAGCUGGAUGAUGUCAUUGUGUUUGAAUAUUCAAACCUAUAAAGAGUUUAACGGUU